AUUCUGUUUUAAAAAAUGAGUCCCCAAACUGGAACAAUGUAGAGAAGAUUAGCAUGGCCCCCAUGUAAGCAUGACAGCAAAUUUGUGAAGUGUUCCAUAUUUUA